GUGGAUUAGAUACCCUGGUAGUCCUGGCAGUAAACGGUGCGCGCUUGGUGUGAGGGGAAUCGACCCCCCUCGUGCCGGAGCUAACGCGUUAAGCGCGCCGCCUGGGAAGUACGGUCGCAAGACUAAAACUCAAAGAAAUUGACGGGGACCCGCACAAGCGGUGGAGUAUGUGGCUUAAUUCGAUGCAACGCGAAGAACCUUACCUAGGCUUGACAUGCAUCUCUAAGCGCGUGAAAGCGCGUGACCCUUCGGGGGAUUUGCACAGGUGCUGCACGGCCGUCGUCAGCU
rnacentral:rRNA from 1 species